rnacentral:rRNA from 1 species
GACGAACGCUGGCGGCGUGCCUAAUACAUGCAAGUAGGACGAGUUUCGAACGGGUGAGUAACGCGUAGGUAAAUACCUAUUAGCAGGGGAUAACUAUUGGAAACGGUAGCUAAUACCGCAUAGCCUCAGUUGUGCCCAGAUGGGAUUUGCUAGUAGGUGGGGUAAUGGCUCACCGAGGCGACGAGCCCUAGCUGGUCUGAGAGGAUGACCAGCCACACUGGAACUGAGACACGGUCCAGACUCCUACGGGAGUCAGCAGUGGGGAAUAUUGCACAAUGGGCGCAAGCCUGAUGCAGCCAUGCCGCGUGUGUGAAGAAGGCCUUCGGGUUGUAAAGCACUUUCAGCGAGGAGGCGUUACUCGCAGAAGAAGCACCGGCUAACUCCGUGCCAGCAGCCGCGGUAAUAC